rnacentral:lncRNA from 1 species
AUGGAUACCUGCUAUUUCUUUCACUUUCUAGGAGAAAACGGUCCUCAUUUAAACGUUACCCCAUAUCACCCAGCUUACAGCAAUAUAACCUCUUGGUGUAAUCAAGCGAAGCUUCUUAUAUACGACGAACCUCAUGCAGAUCGUUCUAACAAACUUCCUGUUCGAUUCCCUAGAGGAAUUUGGCUCAUCUGUGGAGACAGAGCCUGGCAAGGUGUCCCUUCAAAAAUAGAUGGUGGCCCUUGUGCUCUGGGACAACUUACAAUUAUUGCUCCCAGUGUCAAAGAAGUAAUCAAAAAGAAAAACAGAAAGAUUAGAUCUUCCUGGGGACAUCAGUACGAGAGCGACUGUGAUAGUGACUUUCACCCUUGGAACUCUGAAAAAUCAAUUGUUGCGAGCAUUUUUCUACCUCCGUUAAGUUCCUCAAUUGCAUUAAAACAGUUAAACAAGUUGGGAUGUUGGCUCAGCAAGGAGGUAAAUGCCACCUCUACCAUGAUCAGUGACUUGUUAACCGAUGAAGAGGCAGUCAGACAUGCCACUUUACAAAAUAGAGCUGCCAUUGAUUAUCUUUUAUUAGCACAUGGGCAUGGCUGUGAAGAUUUUGAAGGAUUAUGCUGGAUGAACUUAUCCGAUCAUUCUGUUUCCAUUCACAAACAGUUACAAAACCUAAGGGACCUAGCUAACCAAAUUACAACAGAUGACCCGUCUUGGCUAGACAGUUUGUUUGAUGGUUGGAGCUUUGCACCUUGGCUAAGGGAACUCUGUAAAAUAGGCUUGAUUAUUCUAGUAGUAAUAAUUAGAGUUUUAGUAGCAGUACCUUGUAUACUUCAGUGUGUGCAAAAAAUAACGAGUAGGACUGUGUCUAAUAUCUUAAUUGUUCAUCAGAACGGGGGAGAUGUUGGGGAAGAUGAAACAGGAAAGCCUUAUAAAUAUGAUUGCCUGACAAAAGAUUUUGGGAAUAUGAAAAAUAUAAGCGACAUCGAAAUGAAAGCCGCUUUUGAAAUACCAAGUCUUAGUUACCGAACAACUGGAAAACAAUGGUAUGGCCGACUGAAGGUAAUCCCCUCUCGAUUGAACAAUACCCUCUGCUUGCAGGCAGGUCCGAGGGUCAGAGCAGACCCCACCAGCUCAGCAGAAGGGGUCCAAAGAGCCGUUUUUAGGAGUUAA